UUUAGUCUCUAUGGACCAGGUGGUCAGUUGGUGAGGGCCACAGCAUAGUCCUUUAGUCUCUAUGGACCAGGUGGCCAGUUGGUGAGGGCCACAGCAUAGUCCUUUAGUCUCUAUGGACCAGGUGGUCAGUUGGUGAGGGCCACAGCAUAGUCCUUUAGUCUCUAUGGACCAGGUGGCCAGUUGGUGAGAGCCACAGCAUGGUCCUUUAGUCUCUAUGGACCAGGUGGCCAGUUGGUGAGAGCCACAGCAUAGUCCUUUAGUCUCUAUGGACCAGGUGGCCAGUUGGUGAGGGCCACAGCAUGGUCCUUUAGUCUCUAUGGACCAGGUGGUCAGUUGGUGAGGGCCACAGCAUAGUCCUUUAGUCUCUAUGGACCAGGUGGUCAGUUGGUGAGGGCCACAGCAUAGUCCUUUAGUCUCUAUGGACCAGAUGACCAGUUGGUGAGGGCCACAGCAUAGUCCUUUAGUCUAUAUGGACCAGGUGGCCAGUUGGUGAGGGCCACAGCAUAGUCCUUUAGUCUCUAUGGGCCAGGUGCCAGUUGGUGAGGGCCACAGCAUAGUCCUUUAGUCUCUAUGGGGCAGAUGGUCAGUUGGUGAGGGCCACAGCAUAGUCCUUUAGUCUCUAUGGGCCAGGUGCCAGUUGGUGAGGGCCACAACAUGGGGAAAGAAACUGUUCAUAUGGGGGUCUAUAACAUCUAAUCACAGCAUCUGACAGUUGCAACUUCAUUGCUAAUAACUGCCUUAUUUAUAUAAAGACAUCAUCUCUGUACAGAUGUAAGAUCUGAAUUUGAUCAACCUGUCACAGGAAAACUAAAAUGUGUACUAUAUUUGAGUGUAUUUAAAUAAAGCUUUAAAAAAGGUUUCUGAAGAUGAUAAAUU
ensembl:lncRNA